UACGGGGGGGGGCAAGCGUUGUUCGGAAUUACUGGGCGUAAAGGGCUCGUAGGCGGCCAACUAAGUCAUACGUGAAAUCCCUCGGCUUAACCGGGGAACUGCGUCUGAUACUGGAUGGCUUGAGUUCGGGAGAGGGAUGCGGAAUUCCAGGUGUAGCGGUGAAAUGCGUAGAUAUCUGGAGGAACACCGGUGGCGAAGGGCGGG
rnacentral:rRNA from 1 species